rfam:Aedes aegypti strain Liverpool supercont1.55 genomic scaffold, whole genome shotgun sequence.
UGCCCAGCAACUCCUUUCCCUAUAUACUCGCGGUACUGGCCGGUGUACGAGUAACCUUAGGGUAGAUCGGGUAACCAACCACCGAUGGGAGCUUUGGUCGUAUGCUGACAGGGAAGG